GCUAUCAGCCGGGUUAUCGCUACCCGAUCUAUCGGGUGGAGGAAAGUCCGGACAGCAAAGGGCAACACACCGGUUAAUGGCCGGUCUGGAUAUGGUUAGUGGCAACACUAACUAUGAAAGGAAGAAAGUGCCACAGAAAAUUACCACCCCUCUCUUGACAUGCUUCGACAAGACUUCGACAAGCUCAGUCUGACAGAGCAUGACAAGAGAGGGGCCAGGGUGAAAACGUGAGGUAAGAGCUCACGGGUUUUUGCAGUAAUGCAUAAAUUGGGUAAACCUUGUGUGCUGUAAUGCCACGUAUAUCAAUGGUUGAGGGCGGCCCGCCUGAUAUUGCGCAAGCAGUAACGUUGAAGGGUAGGCAGCAAGAUUGUAACAGUAAUGUUGCAGCCAGAUAAAUGAUAACCGUUUCCCCCCAACUUGUUGGGGGGAAAUACAGGAUCCGGCUUACAGGCUGAUAGAUUUU
rnacentral:RNase_P_RNA from 1 species